UAAAGGUCCUUACACACCAGGCGCGAAUUCGCCAGGCAAAUUAUUCGCCUUUAUUCGCCUUUUUUUAAAACAGCAUAAAGUCAAUGCAAGCUUCCACACCGGCGGCGAUUUUUCCGCGGGGCGAAAAGCCUCUUUUAUUUUUUCGCUCUUGUGUCGAAUUUUUCGGAGAUUCGCAGGCGAAUAUCUGGACCUGCUAGACCUCUGGCCAAUCAAAAGUCAUGUUGAUGAUGACGUCACAGACCCAUGCGGCUGCAGUUCACACGACACACACCACCACUGGCACCAAGAGCAACAAUGGGGGAGAGUGUGUACCACAGAGUGGUCACCCGGUGUGUAUAAGCGAAAGCGAUUUUUCGGACCGGCGAAUAUUUUCACAUUUUCGUCUCGCUUUUUCGCGUCCCUCGCAAAUUCGCUGGUGUGUAAGGACCUUGAGAGUUA